AAAAUUUUAAGUUAAAUAAACUAUUAAUCUUCAAAAUUAAAUAUAUUAUUUUAUAUAAUAAAUUUUA
rnacentral:tRNA from 1 species